rnacentral:rRNA from 1 species
AGUGAACGCUGGCGGUAGGCCUAACACAUGCAAGUCGAACGGCAGCACAGGAGAGCUUGCUCUCUAGGUGGCGAGUGGCGGACGGGUGAGGAAUACAUCGGAAUCUGCUCAGUCGUGGGGGAUAACGUAGGGAAACUUACGCUAAUACCGCAUACGACCUUCGGGUCAAAGAGGGGGAUCGCAAGACCUCUCGCGAUUGGAUGAGCCGAUGUCGGAUUAGCUAGUUAGCGGGGUAAUGGCCCACCAAGGCGACGAUCCGUAGCUGGUCUGAGAGGAUGAUGAGCCACACUGGAACUGGGACACGGUCCAGACUCCUACGGGAGGCAGCAGUGGGGAAUAUUGGACAAUGGGCGCAAGCCUGAUCCAGCCAUACCGCGUGGGUGAAGAAGGCCUUCGGGUUGUAAAGCCCUUUUGUUGGGAAAGAAAUCUUUCAGGCUAAUACCCUGAGAGGAUGACGGUACCCAAAGAAUAAGCACCGGCUAACUUCGUG